UUUCCGAGGCCACAAGUGUAUACAUAUAUGUACUGUUGUACUUUUGAUUUAUGAUUGAGUACUAAAUCGCGACAAUCAUGGAGGGUUUAUUUGCGGCGAUAAAAAUUUCAUUUCGAGCGAUAUCGAAAUUUAUUCCCAGUAAAUACUUACUCGUUUACAACUGAUAAUACCGACGGAAGCUUCAGAAAACUAUGUCCGAUAGGAAAGUCCAAGAAUAAAAGCGAGGUAGACUCGGAAAAUAUGUGAAAACAUUCAGCCAGAUCUAUCUAAGCUUAUAACAUAUAAUGCAUCUGCAGUCUGUUGCGCAUAUGGAAGGGUAUACGUUUGCAGAAGAAGCGUUGGACUGAGGAACAUAAAACUAAAACAAAACACAUUCAAUUUGGGUAUUGAAAGUGUGAUACCAAAUUCUGAAUUGAGAAUAAAACUGUAAAAACCCAAUAGAAUUAUAUGAAAAUAAAACGCAAAAGAGUAGAAAAAAAUAUAGUGAGAGUCACUAAGUGGUAUAUAAAAUGAAUUACCGUUAAUAAAAAAGCAAAAGCAGAAACAGAAACAAUUAGACAAGCACACAAGGAACUUUAGAAAAAAAAAAACAUAAAUAAAAUAAAUUUC